rnacentral:rRNA from 1 species
AGAUAUGAUCCAGAGUACCACGGGACACGUGAAACCCUGUGGGAAGCAGGAGGGACCACCCUCCAAGGCUAAAUACUACCUAGUGACCGAUAGCGUAUAGUACCGUGAGGGAAAGGUGAAAAGAACCCCGGGAGGGGAGUGAAAUAGAACCUGAAACCCUGCACUUACAAGCUGUGGAAGCACAUUUCUUGUGUGACCGCGUACUUUUUGUAGAACGGGCCAACGAGUUACGUUAAGUAGCAAGGUUAAGCACUUAAGGUGCGGAGCCGUAGCGAAAGCGAGUUUUAACUGAGCGUUCAGUUACUUGACGUAGACCCGAAACCGGGCGACCUACCCAUGAGCAGGAUGAAGCGAAAGUAAAAUUUCGUGGAGGUCCGAACCCACGAGCGUUGAAAAGCUCGGGGAUGACUUGUGGGUAGCGGUGAAAUUCCAAUCGAGCCCGGAGAUAGCUGGUUCUCCCCGAAAUAGCUUUAGGGCUAGCCUCAAGGUGAGAGAUACGGAGGUAGAGCACUGAAUGUCCUAGGGGGUAUUGCACCUACCGAAGACUAUCAAACUCCGAAUGCCGUCAUCUUAUACUUGGGAGUCAGACUGUGGGUGAUAAGAUUCAUAGUCGAAAGGGCAACAGCCCAGAUCGUCAGCUAAGGUCCCUAAAUGUAAGUUAAGUGGUAAAGGAUGUGGGAUUGCACAGACAACCAGGAUGUUGGCUUAGAAGCAGCCACUCAUUCAAAGAGUGCGUAAUAGCUCACUGGUCGAGUGAUCCUGCGCCGAAGAUUUCCGGGGCUAAAACUUACUACCGAAGCUACGGCAUCAGUAAUGAUGGGUAGGGGAGCUUCCCAUACGGGUUGAAGCAUGACCGUAAGGACAUGUGGACAGUAUGGGAGUGAGAAUGUUGGCAUGAGUAGCGAGAUGUGGGUGAGAAUCCCACAGGCCGUAAACCCAAGGUUUCCAGGGGAAGGUUCGUCCGCCCUGGGUUAGUCGGGACCUAAGCUGAGGCCGAAAGGCGUAGGUGAUGGACAACAGGUUGAUAUUCCUGUACUACCGAUAACCGUUUGAGAGAAGGGAUGACACAGUAGGAUAAGCUAAGCACACUGUUGGUUAUGUGUGCCCAAGCAUUGAGGCAGUCAAAGUAGGCAAAUCCGCUUUGAUAAUGCUGGGAUGUGAUGGGGAGCGAAAUUUAGUAGCGAAGUAGCUGAUUUCACACUGUCAAGAAAAGUCUCUAUCGAGGUUAAAGGUACCCGUACCGCAAACCGACACAGGUGGGUGAGGAGAGUAUCCUAAGGCCAGCGAGAGAACUGUUGUUAAGGAACUCGGCAAAAUGACCCCGUAACUUAGGGAUAAGGGGUGCCACCAUCAGGUGGCCGCAGAGAAUAGGCCCAAGCGACUGUUUACCAAAAACAUAGGUUUCUGCUAAGUCGCAAGACGAUGUAUAGGAGCUGACGCCUGCCCGGUGCUGGAAGGUUAAGGGGAUCUGUUAGAGCAAUCGAAGCAGUGAACUUAAGCCCCAGUAAACGGCGGCCGUAACUAUAACGGUCCUAAGGUAGCGAAAUUCCUUGUCGGGUAAGUUCCGACCCGCACGAAAGGCGUAACGAUUUGGGCACUGUCUCAACAACAGACUCGGUGAAAUUGUAAUUCCGGUGAAGAUGCCGGAUACCUGCGACAGGACGGAAAGACCCCAUGGAGCUUUACUGUAGCUUGACAUUGGGUCUUGGUACUACAUGUACAGGAUAGGUGGGAGGCUUUGAAACCAGGACGCCAGUUUUGGCGGAGCCAUCCUUGGGAUACCACCCUUGUAGUACUGGGACUCUAACCAUAGGCCAUGAAUCUGGUCUUGGGACACUGUCAGGUGGGCAGUUUGACUGGGGCGGUCGCCUCCCAAAAGG